UACGAAGGGGGCUAGCGUUGUUCGGAGUUACUGGGCGUAAAGGGCGCGUAGGCGGCCCUCCAAGUCGGGCGUGAAAGCCCACGGCUCAACCGUGGAAUUGCGCUCGAGACUGAAGGGCUCGAGGACGGGAGAGGAUGGUGGAAUUCCCGGUGUAGUGGUGGAAUGCGUAGAUAUCGGGAGGAACACCAGUGGCGAAGGCGGUUGCCUGGAGCUUUGCUGACGCUGAGGCGCGAAAGCGUGGGGAGCGAUCCGG
rnacentral:rRNA from 1 species